AUUGAACGCUGGCGGCAGGCCUAACACAUGCAAGUCGAACGUGUGGCGGACGGGUGAGGAAUGUCUGGGAAACUGCCUGAUGGAGGGGGAUAACUACUGGAAACGGUAGCUCAUAACGCAUACCAUCGGAUGUGUCCAGAUGGGAUUAGCUAGUAGGUGGGGUAAAGGUGCACCUAGGCGACGAUCACUAGCUGGUGUGAGAGGAUGACCGGCAACACUGGAACUGAGACACGGGCCAUACUCCUACGGUAGUCAGCAGUGGGGAAUAUUGCACAAUGGGCGCAAGCCGGAUGCAGCCAUGCCGCUUGUAUGAAGAAGGCCUUCGGGUUGUAAAGUACUUUCAGCGGGGAGGCGUUACCCGCAGAAGAAGCCCCGGCUAACUCCGUGCCAGCAGCCGCGGUAAUUC
rnacentral:rRNA from 1 species